CACUCACUAUCCGCCCGGGUACUACGAGCUUUAGCUUAAAACCCAAAGGACUUGGCGGUGCUUAAGAUCCACCUAGAGGAGCCUGUUCUAUAACCGAUAACCCCCGUUUAACCUCACUCUUUCUUGUUUAAACCGCCUAUAUACCGCCGUCGUCAGCUCACCCUGUGAAGGCCCCGUAGUAAGCUAGGUUGGCACGACCCAAAACGCCAGGUCGAGGUGUAGCGUAUGAAAGAGGAAGAAAUAGGCUACAUUUCCUAAGCAGGAAACACGGACAAUAAACUAAAAUAUGUAUUAGAAGGAGGAUUUAGCAGUAAAUGAGGAAC
rnacentral:rRNA from 1 species